AAAUGAAUAGACGGGGGCCCGCACAAGCGGUGGAGCAUGUGGCUUAAUUCGAUGCAACGCGAAGAACCUUACCAGGCCUUGACAUGCACUGGACCGACGCUGAAAGGCGUCUUUCCCGCAAGGGACCGGUGCACAGGUGCUGCAUGGCUGUCGUCAGCUCGUGUCGUGAGAUGUUGCGUUAAGUCGCGCAACGAGCGCAACCCCUGUCCUUAGUUGCCACCAUUAAGUUGGGCACUCUAGGGAGACAAACCCUCUAUGAGGGUGGGAAGGUGGGGAUGACGUCAAGUCAGGAUGGCCCUUACGGCCUGGGCUGCACACGUGCUACAAUGCUCGGUACAGAGGGAAGCAAUACCGCAAGGUGGAGCAAAUCCUCAAAACCGAGCCCAGUUCAGAUUGCAGUCUGCAACUCGACUGCAUGAAGCCGGAAUCGCUAGUAAUGGCGUAUCAGCUACGACGCCGUGAAUACGUUCCCGGGCCUUGUACACACCGCCCGU
rnacentral:rRNA from 1 species